ensembl:rRNA 5S_rRNA 5S ribosomal RNA
GCUUAUGGCCAUACCAGCCUGGCUAUGCCCGAUCUUGUCUGAUCUCGGAAGCUAAGCAGGUUUGGGCCUGGUUAGUGCCUGGAUGGGAGACCGCCUGGGAAUGCCAGGUACUCUAAGCU